rnacentral:rRNA from 1 species
GACGAACGCUGGCGGCGUGCUUAACACAUGCAAGUCGAACGGAAAGGCCCUGCUUUUGUGGGGUGCUCGUGUGGCGAACGGGUGAGUAACACGUGAGUAACAUGCACUUGACUUUGGGAUAACUUCAGGAAACUGGGGCUAAUACAGGAUAGGAGCUCCUGCUGCAUGGGGGGGGUUGGAAAGUUUCGGCGGUUGGGGAUGGACUAGCGGGUUAUGCGCUUGAUGGUGGGGUAGGUGCUUACCAAGGCUGUGACGGGUAGGCGGCCUGAGAGGUUGGCCGGCCACAUUGGUCCUGAGGUACGGCCCAGACUCCUACGGGACGCAGUAGGGGGGAAUAUUGCACAAUGGGCGGAAGCCUGAUGCAGCAACGCCGGGUGCGGGAUGCCGGCCUUCUGGUUGUAAACCGCUGUCGACUUUGACGAAGCGUGAGUGACGGUAAUGGGUAAAGAAGCACCGGCUAACUACGUG